UACGUAGGGGGCGAGCGUUGUCCGGAAUUAUUGGGCGUAAAGAGCGUGUAGGCGGUCCGGUAAGUCAGCUGUGAAAGUCAAGGGCUCAACCCUUGAAAGCCGGUUGAUACUGUCGGGCUAGAGUCCGGAAGAGGCGAGUGGAAUUCCCGGUGUAGCGGUGAAAUGCGCAGAUAUCAGGAGGAACACCAAUGGCGAAGGCAGCUCGCUGGGACGGUACUGACGCUGAGACGCGAAAGCGUGGGGAGCAAACAGG
rnacentral:rRNA from 1 species